rnacentral:rRNA from 1 species
GACGAACGCUGGCGGCGUGCCUAAUACAUGCAAGUUGAGCGCUGAAGGUUGGUACUUGUACCAACUGGAUGAGCAGCGAACGGGUGAGUAACGCGUGGGGAAUCUGCCUUUGAGCGGGGGACAACAUUUGGAAACGAAUGCUAAUACCGCAUAAAAACUUUAAACACAAGUUUUAAGUUUGAAAGAUGCAAUUGCAUCACUCAAAGAUGAUCCCGCGUUGUAUUAGCUAGUUGGUGAGGUAAAGGCUCACCAAGGCGAUGAUACAUAGCCGACCUGAGAGGGUGAUCGGCCACAUUGGGACUGGGACACGGCCCAAACUCCUACGGAGGCAGCAGUAGGGAAUCUUCGGCAAUGGACGAAAGUCUGACCGAGCAACGCCGCGUGAGUGAAGAAGGGUUUCGGAUCGUAAAACUCUGUUGGUAGAGAAGAACGUUGGUGAGAGUGGAAAGCUCAUCAAGUGACGGUAACUACCCAGAAAGGGACGGCUAACUACGUG